rnacentral:rRNA from 1 species
UACGAAGGGGGCUAGCGUUGUUCGGAAUUACUGGGCGUAAAGCGCGCGCAGGCGGUCUUCCAAGUCAGUGGUGAAAGCCCGGAGCUCAACUCCGGAAUUGCCAUUGAAACUGUUAGACUUGAGUACGAGAGAGGUGAGUGGAAUUCCCAGUGUAGAGGUGAAAUUCGUAGAUAUUGGGAAGAACACCGGUGGCGAAGGCGGCUCACUGGCUCGUAACUGACGCUCAGGCGCGAUAGCGUGGGGAUCAAACAGG